CUGGAUAACAGCAGCUGAAGAUCUGUGAUCGGGGUGAUGAUGGAGUUUUGGUCUGAAAAUCAGAGACAAUCGCACGUUUACUCCAGACUUGCUAUCACAACCGGCAUCAGAUGUCUCAUUAUCCUUUGACCUUUGGAACGGAAAGAGAGUCCAGUGAAUGGACUCACCCAGCAUCAAGAGCUGCUC